UCACAGUUCUCCUGAUGCAAACAAGUAAAGGAAUAGUGAGGAGCAUAAUCUGCAAUAAAACAACUGUUAAAGGAAUGGGAAAUUCAACUCCACAAGUGUAAAUCGGAUUAUAUAAUCUUGUGGGAUCAACUGAAUCACCCCGUAUCUUGUUUAUACAUGGCAAAGCAAACCCACCAAAAAAAUCCCAAUUACAUGUGAAGACCAAACAAAUGCAGCAUGGAUAGGAUUGGACAAACCGUUUCAGGUUAAAAG
rnacentral:misc_RNA from 1 species